UAGCAUGGAAUAAUGAAAUAGGACGUGUGGUUCUAUUUUGUUGGUUUCUAGGACCGCCGUAAUGAUUAAUAGGGACAGUCGGGGGCAUCAGUAUUCAAUUGUCAGAGGUGAAAUUCUUGGAUCUAUUGAAGACUAACUACUGCGAAAGCAUUUGCCAAGGAUGUUUUCAUUGAUAAGGAACGAAAGUUAGGGGAUCGAAGACGAUCAGAUACCGUCGUAGUCUUAACUAUAAACUAUGCCGACUAGGGAUCGGACGAUGUUAUCUUUUGACUCGUUCGGCACCUUUCGAGAAAUCAAAGUGCUUGGGCUCCAGGGGGAGUAUGGUCGCAAGGCUGAAACUUAAAGAAAUUGACGGAAGGGCACCACCAGGGGUGGAACCUGCGGCUUAAUUUGACUCAACACGGGGAAACUCACCAGGUCCAGACACAGUGAGGAUUGACAGAUUGAUAGCUCUUUCUUGAUUCUGUGGGUGGUGGUGCAUGGCCGUUCUUAGUUGGUGGAGUGAUUUGUCUGCUUAAUUGCGAUAACGAACGAGACCUUAACCUGCUAAAUAGCCCUUAUUGCUUCGGCAGUAUGCUGGCUUCUUAGAGGGACUAUCGGCUCAAGCCGAUGGAAGUUUGAGGCAAUAACAGGUCUGUGAUGCCCUUAGAUGUCCUGGGCCGCACGCGCGUUACACUGACAAAGCCAGCGAGUAUUUCCUUGGCCGGAAGGCCCGGGUAAUCUUGUUAAACUUUGUCGUGCUGGGGAUAGAGCAUUGCAAU
rnacentral:rRNA from 1 species